rnacentral:misc_RNA from 1 species
GAAAAUCAUGGGAUUGUGAAACAAGAACAAAUAUUGAUAUUGUGAUUGCAAAUCAAAACUAUAUGCCUUGAGAAAACUACAUAUAUCCAAAGUACACCAGAAAUCUUAAUACUAAGAUUUUAUUGAUUGGCUGCUGAAUUAUCAAAUUGCAAUCAAUUUGUCAUUCAUUAAAGAAUCCCAAGCUCACAAAAAAGCAGUAGUAAAAAAAAGCAGAAAAUAAUUAAAUUCCCAGAAAAAUAGUAAACAAAACUUGCUAGCAGUU